rnacentral:lncRNA from 1 species
GAAAAAAACAACAACUGAGGAGAAUUUUUUAAAAGGGAGGAGGGAAACCCUCUCUAUGCCUCUCCUAAACCAUUGUAUUUCGCCAUUAUGUCAGUUAACAACUACACUAGAAACAAGCAGCAGAUUUUUUUCCACUCUGUGAGUAAUUGUCUGCAUAGCAGUGACAGAUGUGCAAUAUAGCAGCUUCUUCAGGAAAAAAAAUUAACAGUUUGUCCAGCAUGUCAGCUCGCUCUUUUUAGUGCUUCGGAGGUCCUGGCCCCAUUAUGGAUGAUUUAGAAAUUGAGGCAAGCUAAGACCAGCUGCCUGAGUUGAAAGCCUUAGUUAGUAGGCCUCAUCUGCAUUCCAGUAUUCACUUACAUCUAGAAAUUGGUAGGGCCCCUCCGGCCACAAGAUGAGUGCGGGCUGACAAUGCCUUGAUUUGUCGAGAGAGAGAAUAAAUGGGUUUUUCAGAAGAUGAGGAAAUAUCACCAUUACUGGCCAAUUUACAGCAUUUUAUCUGUUCUUCAAACAUGUCACUUUUGUUAUUGUCGCAUGGUAAUUACAUAGUGAAACGGAAAGAAAACAAAUUCCGGUUACAUAUUCAGAUGGAUUGCAAAAUCAUAUAAUCCUGAUAAAUGCCCAUUUAUGAUACACAUGGAUGAAAGGUUCAUUUUAAUUUUGAAUAGCUAGCACAGCCAUAAAUACGAUAUAGGAUUAGAUGCCACUGAAUCCGAUUACCAAAGCAAAUAGCAUUUUUCCUCACUCUUUUUCAUAACUAGCAAAUUUGUAACAAGGAAGGUAUUUAAAACAAAGGGGAUUGGGGGGGAGUAGGGAUUCCACCCACCCUCUCCCAGUCUCCUAAAAUAAUGUUUUAAGCAAUAUUGUUCCAGUGGCCCUCUUAAAAAUAUCGGGCUUACCAUUGCUAAAAGUGCAUUAUUUCUGGAAGCAGCUCAACAUUUGACAUUAAAGGCUCACAGAAAGAGCCUCUGUCCCCUGCACAAGUCGGGCACUUGAGAUGCAGACAGAGCUGUUGUCAUUAGAUCUCCAAUAACAAAGGCGGUGGUGAUAAAAAAAAUAAUAGUGGUUCCAUUAUACCAGUUUUUAUGCCCAGUCUUUUGAACAGAAGACUUAAGUCAGAUGCUAAAACUCAGAAAAUGUGUGAAAAGCAUUAAAGACAACCCCAGACAGUGUUAAAGGCUUCUGGUUAAGAGAUGGUUCACUAAAGCCAUAAUAGCUCAUCAGAUGAAAUAUUGGGCUGUCUCUUCUGUUGGUGAUAAAUAAGGAGCACCAUCCACCAGGAACAUCUGCACAUGCCCGCUUUAAAGGAAUAUAAAUAGUUGGGCAUGCAGUUGCUGAAACGAAUCUCCAGUGGAUGGUGACCAUUGCAUGUGGUUAAAUAAUACACAUCGGCACUAACGUUACUCACAAGCCUUUUCAAAUAAGUAUUUUCUUAACUGACAAGCAUCACUUUACAAACGUAGAAUCUAUCCUUCAGAGACCCAAUGUUGCCAGCAUUAAUAGUUCUAUUUCUUUAGAGUUGCGACUAGACCCACGUUUAAGUUCUGCUUUAUCACAAAGCUUACUGGAUGAUGGAUGUCUCACAAAUAUAGUGUGAGAGUGAAAUAAUAUAAAAUAAGGGGUCACCACAAUGGGAUUCAAAAUAAUUCCAUGCUGGCUCUUAGUUGAUUUGUCAUGCACUAGAUAGCUGGAGACGGUGGCUUUUUCCUCUAUUCUUCUUAUUAUGAUUUAAUUUUUUAUUUAUUACAUUUGUACAAUAUCGCUCUUCAUCUGAAGAUCACAGGGCGGGUCACAACAUAAGCAUACAAAAUGAAAACACAUAGUAAAAACAAAACAAAACCCAAUAACCUCUCUCCCACAAACUCAUGUAAAAGGCCAUAGAAUGUUUGAUCAGCCAAAGGCCUAAUUAUAGAGAAAAGUUUUUGCCUGGCACUUAAAGAUAUGUAAUGAAGGUGCCAGAUUAGCCUCCCUGGGGAGAGCAUUCCACAAACUGGGAGCCACCACGGAAUAGGCCUUGAGUUCUCGAGUUGCCACCCUCUGAGAGGGCACACGAAGAAGUGUCUCAGACAAUGGAAACUAAUUGGCAGCCAGUGCAGUCAGGCCAACCAUAGCAGUCUCUCCUCCUGUGUUCCAGCACCUGGUAUUUGGCAGCCUGGCUGCCUCCAGCUGUGGAGGUAAAGCACAGCCAACAUGGCUAGUGUUUUUGAGAUACAUGUUUUCUGGCAUACCAGACUCUCACAAAACGGCAGGUUUACAUGUGUGUGUUUUUGUGGUGCCCAGCCCCACUAGAAGCUCACAGAGGAGCACUCUGUUAACGGAAGGAGGGGGAGUGGCGAUAGAUCGCACCAGCAAAAAUGUCACCACACUUUAAAAAAAACAAAUGAACACCUCACACAGUAUACUUCACUGAGAGUUGGAUGGAACCAUGAAAGUCAUCUAGUCAAAACCCAUGAAAUGCAAUAAUAUUUUGCCCAGUGUGGGGUUUGAACCCACGACCCUGGGAUUAAGAGUCCCAUACUUUACCACCUGAGCUAUAUUAGCCUAGGGAUCUCUAAACUACCACUUUCCAUUUAGACUACUGUAAGGCACUCUACAUUGAGCUGCCCUUGAAGACGGUCUGGAAACGCUAGUACAGAAUGCAGCCACAAGAGGAUUGUCGCUUCCAUGCAUUGACAGGUAACACCUGUCCAGUGGAAUCUGCACUACAUUUCUCCACAUCAGCCAGGCCACGCUCUGUGGCUGGGAGAGGGACUCUGCUCAUUGUCUCACCAACAUGUGGAGAGACCUGUAGGGCCUUAUCUGUAGUGGCACCCCAGAUGUGGAGCUCCCUAUCCUGUGCUUAAAGGGCACAAAAUGGCACAACAUUGAUAGGAUCUUGCCUUUCCUGAUUUAUCAAUAUUUUGGAUUGUCUGAAUUAGUCUCUAUCUGCAUCAUAUUAACUGUAUCCUUUUAACUUUUGUUGUUGGCCUAUUGUUGAUGUUUUAACUGUAUCUUAUAUUUUGCUAUAUAUAUUUUUUGAAUUAUUGUACAGAAACUGCUUUGGAGUCAUUUUUAAUGGAACGCAUUAGAAUCUUAACAUAUAAAAUGGAAUAAAUCUUAACAAAUAUAAGAAUCUU